AGGCUGGUCUCGAACUCCUGACCUCAAGCAGUUCUCCCACCUUGGCCUCCCAAAGUGCUGAGACUACAGGCAUGAGCCACUGUGCCUAUUUUGUAAGCAAUGAUAAUUUAAUGUGCCAGAUGAGGGAAGAGGCACAAUGGGAGUUGGUUAAGGGGUGGCAGAUAGGAGAGUCCCUCCCAGAGAAGGGGUUUCUGAGCCUCUGAACCCUCACACAGGAUAGACAGGCAUUUCCAGGAGGAGAGAGGGAAUGAAGGGCAUUUCAGCAAGAGGAAACUGCAUGCGCAUACACCCAGAGAGACAGACCCUUGAGGGUCAGAGGAUAUAUCCUCAGGGCCUGGAUGAGCUAUAUUCUUUGGUCAAGUCUGAGGAUCUGCAAUGGACGGUGUCAGUGAGAAGGUAGUGGAGUGACAGAGGGCUGGGCCCUCGGCAGAUUCGUCUCCUAGCAGGAAGUGGUGCUAGGUGAGCCAGAUGCACUUAGCCUGCACAUGAUGCAUAAGCCAGUGCCAAUUUGGGCCCCAUGUGUAGGGCCUUCCAGCCCCUCAGAGACUGCCCAGGCCAUUUCUGCUCCCUCCCUGGACCCCUAGAAGGCCAACCCAGGAUUCAUCUACGGGCAGGUGGGGACCCUGGGCUCUGGGCCUAUCCAGUGAGGAUGGCCUAAAAUGCAGACCCUGGGUCCUAGGCAGGGGUCCUGUGCAGAGUGGCUGAUGGACCAGACUAGCAGCACGCUUCCAGCAGGGCGAGGCUCUCAGAGAUGGGGCAGCAGCUGGAUAGGGUCUGGAUGAAGCCAUAUUACAUGAACGUCCGGAUGGCCAGGGGGUUUGAGGGCUCGACGCCCAGUGCUCCCAGGGCCUCUGGUACGCUCCACCUCCAGUCCCAUCCCCAGCCUCAAGCUCCUCCACCUGACCCUCUCUGGGUCUCUACCUCAGUCUGUCUUCAAUCCCAGGAUUCAGUAGUCUGCACUGUCCCCAGAUUAGUGGCUAAGAUUGUGGGUUUAAAUCUUGGCUCCACAAUAUACUAGCUGUGUGACCUUGGGCAGUUACUCUGCCUCUCUGGGCCUUAUCUGUAAAAGUGAAAAUAACAGUUAUCUUCCCUGAAUGGGUGCCUAAGAGGGUGACAUUUGACAAGCAUGUGAAAACACAUGGUAUUCAGUCAUGAAGCAUUAGCCACUGAUUGCACACUUCCUGGUGCUGCGGUGUGGCCGCUUUGAGGAGAAAGUUCUGCUCAAAAUCAGGGUCCCUUUUGGGGCCAGAGAGCUGCCACAUGGGGCUGGAUCCCACUUACCCUGUGUGAGUUUGCUAGGGCUGUGGUAAUAAAGUGCUGAAGAUGCUAGCUUCAACGGCAGGCAUUCAUCGUCUCUUGGUUCUGGAGACUGAAGUUCACGUCAGAGUGUCGGCAGGGUUGGUUCCUCCUGAGGGCUGUGAGGGAGGGUCUGUUGUAGGCCUUGCCCCCAGCUUCUGGUGCUUUGCCAGCAGUCUUUGACAUUCCUCCUGGGCAAGGGAUGUCUGUGUGGCAUCUCCCUGUGUGUGUGCCUGUGUCCACAUUUCCCCUUGGUAUAGGACACUGGUCACCUUGGAUGAAAGCCCAGCCUAUUGACUUCAUUUUAGUCUGAUUACCUCUGUAACGAUUCUGUCUCAUUAGGAGGUACUGGGGACGUCAGUAUAUUUUUUUGUUGUUGCAGGGGAUGCAGUUCAACCCAGAACGCCUCCAAUUUGCUUCCUGCUACCUUCCUGGCUGGGUGGUUUGGUUUGGGUGUGACUUGGGACCUCAGGCUCCCAGCUGCUCCCUCUUGCUUUUCCCAUCAUGUAACCACAGGACCCUCACGCAGCUGCAGAGAGGCCAGACUGUGUGCUGAAGGAGCUGCCGUGAGUCUGGGUGGGCACCACCCAGUGAGCCCCCAGGCCCCUAGUCCACAAGCCAGCCAGGGAGGGCAGGCCAGGGCCCAGGAGGAGAUCCGCUCCCCUCUGCAGGCUGGACCUGCCCAAACCCAAGAACCAGGGUGAGGGUUUCUGCAGGCAUGAGAGGAUGGGGUAGCAGGGCCCCUAGAUGGGAAUGCAGCCUGCCCCUCCCUGGCCAGCCACAGGAGCAGGAUGCAGGCUCUGGAGAGGGAGAACGACCAGAUGGCUGCUGGGAUCCAGAGGCGAAAGGUAGGCAGGAGCUGGCUGCUUGGGGUGGUGCGAGGUGGUCCCACCUACUGUCAGGGCCCCCAAAGAACCCCUCCUGAGGACCCUAGAGCCCUCCCCAAGCCUGAAGUCAGGGACUUGUGCAAUAAAGUGGAGGCUCGGGCUGUACCACAGCCACAGCUCUUCUCAUGGGG